rnacentral:rRNA from 1 species
UACAGAGGGUGCAAGCGUUAUCCGGAUUCACUGGGUUUAAAGGGUGCGUAGGUGGUUUUGUAAGUCAGUGGUGAAAGCCCGGAGCUCACCUCUGGAACUGCCAUUGAUACUGCUUAACUUGAAUCAAGUAGAGGUGGAUGGAAGAUUACAUGUAGCGGUGAAAUGCUUAGAGAUGUAAUAGAACACCGAUUGCGAAGGCAGUUCACUAUGCUUGUAUUGACACUGAGGCACGAAAGCGUGGGGAUCAAAAAGG